UGCGAGAGAGUGAUCUUAAGCGAAACCCAAAAAUAAACGUCCCAGUUCGGAUUGUAGUCUGCAACCCGACUACAUGAAGCUGGAAUCGCUAGUAAUCGCGGAUCAGAAUGCCGCGGUGAAUACGUUCCCGGGUCUUGUACACACCGCCCGUCACACCAUGGGAGCCGGGAAUGCCCGAAGUCGGUGACCUAACCUGAAAAGGGAGGAGCCGCCGAAGGCAGGUCUGGUAACUGGGGUGAAGUCGUAACAAGGUACC
rnacentral:rRNA from 1 species